AGAGUUUGAUCCUGGCUCAGGAUGAACGCUAGCUACAGGCUUAACACAUGCAAGUCGAGGGGCAGCAUGAACUUAGCUUGCUAAGUUUGAUGGCGACCGGCGCACGGGUGAGUAACACGUAUCCAACCUGCCGAUGACUCUGGGAUAGCCUUUCGAAAGAAAGAUUAAUACCCGAUGGCAUAGUUCUUCCGCAUGGUAGAACUAUUAAAGAAUUUCGGUCAUCGAUGGGGAUGCGUUCCUAG
rnacentral:rRNA from 1 species